GGGCAAGAUCACCAUUGGCAGA
rnacentral:miRNA from 2 species